UGGGGAAUUUUGGACAAUGGGGGAAACCCUGAUCCAGCCAUCCCGCGUGUGCGAUGAAGGCCUUCGGGUUGUAAAGCACUUUUGGCAGGAAAGAAACGUCAUGGGUUAAUACCCCGUGAAACUGACGGUACCUGCAGAAUAAGCACCGGCUAACUACGUGCCAGCAGCCGAGGUAAUACGUAGGGUGCAAGCGUUAAUCGGAAUUACUGGGCGUAAAGCGUGCGCAGGCGGUUCGGAAAGAAAGAUGUGAAAUCCCAGAGCUCAACUUUGGAACUGCAUUUUUAACUACCGGGAUAGAGUGUGUCAGAGGGAGGUGGAAUUCCGCGUGUAGCAGUGAAAUGCGUAGAUAUGCGGAGGAACACCGAUGGCGAAGGCAGCCUCCUGGGAUAACACUGACGCUCAUGCACGAGAGCGUGGGGAGCAAACAGG
rnacentral:rRNA from 1 species